rnacentral:tRNA from 1 species
AAUAAAGUUAAUGAACUUGCUAUAAGUAUAUAUUUUGAAAGUAUAAAAAAGAGACAAAAUUCUCUAUUAACUU